GGAUUCCCCUAGUAACUGCGAGUGAAGCGGGAAAAGCUCAAAUUUAAAAUCUGGCAGUCUCUGGCUGUCCGAGUUGUAAUCUAGAGAAGUAAUGCCCGUGCUGGACCGUGUAUAAGUCUCCUGGGAUGGGGCGUCAUAGAGGGUGAGAAUCCCGUCUUUGACACGGACUACCAGUGCAUUGUGGUAUGCUCUCAAAGAGUCGAGUUGUUUGGGAAUGCAGCUCAAAAUGGGUGGUAAAUUCCAUCUAAAGCUAAAUAUUGGCGAGAGACCGAUAGCGAACAAGUACCGUGAGGGAAAGAUGAAAAGAACUUUGGAAAGAGAGUUAAACAGUACGUGAAAUUGCUGAAAGGGAAACGCUUGAAGUCAGUCRCGUUGGCCGGGAAUCAGCCUUGCUUUUGCAUGGUGUACUUUCUGGUUGAUGGGUCAGCAUCAAUUUUGACCGCUGGAAAAAGGCCUGGGGAAUGUGGCAGCUUCGGCUGUGUUAUAGCCCCUAGUCACAUACAGUGGUUGGGAUUGAGGAACUCAGCACGCCGCAAGGCCGGGUUUCGACCACGUUCGUGCUUAGGAUGCUGGCAUAAUGGCUUUAAGCGACCCGUCUUGAAACACGGACCAAGGAGUCUAACAUGCCUGCGAGUAUUUGGGUGGAAAACCCAAGUGCGUAAUGAAAGUGAAAGUUGAGAUCCCUGUCGUGGGGAGCAUCGACGCCCGGACCAGAACUUUUGGGACGGAUCCGCGGUGGAGCAUGUAUGUUGGGACCCGAAAGAUGGUGAACUAUGCCUGAAUAGGGUGAAGCCAGAGGAAACUCUGGUGGAGGCUCGUAGCGAUUCUGACGUGCAAAUCGAUCGUCAAAUUUGGGUAUAGGGGCGAAAGACUAAUCGAACCAUCAAUGCA
rnacentral:rRNA from 1 species